rnacentral:rRNA from 1 species
CACGGUGGAUGCCCUGGCAGUCAGAGGCGAUGAAGGGCGUGCUAAUCUGCGAUAAGCGCCGGUAAGGUGAUAUGAACCGUUAUAACCGGCGAUACCCGAAUGGGGAAACCCAGUGUGAUUCGUCACACUAUCAUUAACUGAAUCCAUAGGUUAAUGAGGCGAACCGGGGGAACUGAAACAUCUAAGUACCCCGAGGAAAAGAAAUCAACCGAGAUUCCCCCAGUAGCGGCGAGCGAACGGGGAGGAGCCCAGAGCCUGAAUCAGCAUGUGUGUUAGUGGAAGCGUCUGGAAAGGCGCGCGAUACAGGGUGACAGCCCCGUACACAAAAGCGCAUGUGCUGUGAGCUCGAUGAGUAGGGCGGGACACGUGGUAUCCUGUCUGAAUAUGGGGGGACCAUCCUCCAAGGCUAAAUACUCCUGACUGACCGAUAGUGAACCAGUACCGUGAGGGAAAGGCGAAAAGAACCCCGGCGAGGGGAGUGAAAAAGAACCUGAAACCGUGUACGUACAAGCAGUGGGAGCACAGGUUUACCUGUGUGACUGCGUACCUUUUGUAUAAUGGGUCAGCGACUUAU